rnacentral:ncRNA from 1 species
CAAGAAGUGAUGAUGAGGAUAUGAUUUAUUUUUUACGAUUCUCAGAGAGGGAAGCCUUAGGCUGUAAGCUUCCUAAUACGAAAGAAUGAAUUACCACCUCUGAGCUGCAGCAGUGAAUCCGUGAGUAAUUGCUUGCCGAUGAAAAUCGUUAUGGAAACUUGAGAAAUUGGUAAAGUGUAGCGCUUUGCUAAUCAAACAAGGGUGGAACCACGAAUAAAACACUCGUCCCUUUU